CUCCAGGCGGGCGCCCUGGGCCUCAUGGUCCCAGAGGAAGGGCCUCUCCUCCAAGCCAGGUGUCCAGCCCAGAACCAGAGGAAGCCCUCCCAGGGCCCCAGACCCAAGGGAGUGGGUAGAACUGCCCAGAAUGGGGACUGGAGGUGACAAAGUUCUGGAGAGCAACAGCCAGGUGGAGGGGUCAAGGAGCAGGCCCUGAGUCAGUCCUCAGGGAGCCCCCAUGCUGAAGGAGGAAGCGGAGACUCAGGCCCUGGGCGCAGGGCCCCCCAGUCUGAGAGGGGAGGUGGAGAGCCAAGCUUGGCCCUCUGUGGGUCCCUAGUCUGGAGGGGGUGCCAGAGAAGAAGCCUGGACCUUGUCCUCUGGGAACCUCAUCUGAGCUGAGGAAGGGGACACCAAGGCCCUGCCCUCAGGAAAACGUUCUUCCUUGGGAAUGAACGGCAAGCGAGGCCUCUGUGAAGGAGCCAAAGCUGGACCAGAGGGGGGACUCUGGCCCAGGGCUUCGGGAGCUCAGUGACCGAGCUGAGGUCAGGGGCAAGUGGGGGCACCAGCUGCCCUCUGAGAGGACUUCUGGAGUCAGGGCAUGGCUGGGCCACCAAAGAUGGGGCAGUUUGGGAUUUGAGCAGGCGACCUCGCGCUGAGACACAAGGGAGUGAGGGGUUGCUGGUCUGCAGACUAAGGAGGCCUACCAGGUGGAGUGGUGGAAGGUGGCCUCGAGUCCAGGGAGCAGGGGCGGCUCCUCGUUGUGGGGAGGCAGGAUCAGCUUUGAUUGCCCAAAGCCAGCUCUGGUAACAGAACUGUCCUCUAGAGGGUGCCAACAGACCAGGCCAGGUCUGGAUCCUGAGUUGCCCAAGUGCCCACCCCCAUUGUCCUGAGGUCACUCAGCAGGAGAGGCAGGGGCAGCUGCAGCAGAGGGUUUCCCCAUCAGAAGCCUUCCAUAAGGAAGGAACUCUCCCACGGCAGCCCCCCGGGCUGCGGCUCUGCCCCUCUCUCCUCUCCGCAGACUGGAAGGGCUCAGGAAGCUGCGCCCUUCCCUCAGAAAGGGGGAGGUACACCUCUGGACAUGGGGGACCCUGCCAUUAUUCCCUUCCUGGGUGAGCUGUUGGGGUCAGGGGGAGGUAAGUGUCGAGAGUGGAGUGAGGUCUUGUAUGAGGUCAGAGCGCGGGCAGAGUUGGGUUGGGCUGGGAUCAGCCUCGUGAGGGAGGGAACUGGGAUCCGUGUUGGGGUCAGGGACCAAGCCCUGAGCUCAUUGACUGCGCUGGGUGCUGGGGAACCAGAGGUGGAGAAGACACAGUGCCCUCUGUCUCGUGGAAGAGACAGCUGAAAGGCAGGUGACUUAGGAAAUAUGCAGUAAGGUGGAGGGAAUACAGGCAGCAGCUAAGCCAGCCUGGAGGGAGAAAAGAAUCAUCCAGCAGAGAUAAGAUGGGAGCUGAGUCCUCCAAGGUUCACCUCUACAUCCUGUAUGCGGCUGUACAGCCCCAGACUGUCUCCGAUUUUAAACAGACUCUUCUCCAUUACGAACAGCAUGGAACAGACACAAUUGGCUGAAACCCGCUCAGGAGUAAAAAUACAAAUAGAAGUUUUUAAAGAUCAGGAUGAAGAAAGAAAAAUGCCCUAAGAUGUUACAACUUCUCUCAAUUUUCCCCCAGAUGCCCCCCAAAGUGUUAAUGUGUAAAUAACUAAUCAUUUCAGCUAAUUAUUUAUUUCAACCAACCAAUUUAUGUCAACUGUUUGAUUAACUUAUCACAUAAACUGCUUUCAAUCAAAUUGUUUCACA